rnacentral:rRNA from 1 species
AACGAACGCUGGCGGCAUGCCUAACACAUGCAAGUCGAACGAGACCUUCGGGUCUAGUGGCGCACGGGUGCGUAACGCGUGGGAACCUGCCCUUAGGUUCGGAAUAACUCCCCGAAAGGGGUGCUAAUACCGGAUAAUGUCUUCGGACCAAAGAUUUAUCGCCUUUGGAUGAGCCCGCGUUGGAUUAGCUAGUUGGUAGGGUAAAAGCCUACCAAGGCGACGAUCCAUAGCUGGUCUGAGAGGAUGAUCAGCCACACUGGGACUGAGACACGGCCCAGACUCCUACGGGAGGCAGCAGUGGGUAAUAUUGGACAAUGGGCGAAAGCCUGAUCCAGCAAUGCCGCGUGAGUGAUGAAGGCCUUAGGGUUGUAAAGCUCUUUUAUCCGGGAUGAUAAUGACAGUACCGGGAGAAUAAGCACCGGCUAACUCCGUG